rnacentral:piRNA from 1 species
UUCUUUGAGGAGGUCAAUGAUAGGUUAAGC